rnacentral:rRNA from 1 species
GACAGAGGGGGCAAGCGUUGCUCGGAAUUACUGGGCGUAAAGGGCGCGUAGGCGGAAUGGCAAGUCGGUCGUGAAAUCCUUCGGCUCAACCGAAGAACGUCGAUCGAAACUGCCGUUCUUGAGGAUUGCAGAGGAGACUGGAAUUCCCGGUGUAGCGGUGGAAUGCGUAGAGAUCCGGAAGAACACCGGUGGCGAAGGCGGCCUGCUGGGCAGUAGCUGACGCUGAUGCGCGACAGCGUGGGGAGCAAACAGG